rnacentral:tRNA from 1 species
GCCUUCUUGGUGUAGUGGUCAGCACGCAUGACGCAUGCUCGAGAGGUCCGUGGUUCGAUUCCCGGCGAAGGCA